UAAGCAGUAGCCUCAGUGUUACAGACCCAGGUACAGACAACUGCUGCUGCGUUUAACAACCGAGAAAAUGAGAACGAAGACCGUGAUCCUGCUCAUUGCCCUUGUGGUCCUGCUCAAAGUGGUUUCCAAUGAUGCUGGAGCAGACGAUCAGGUUAUUCCAAACGACAGUUUCGAAAAAGAGUUUAAUGAACAUUCCAGUGAUCGUGAGGAGGAGCCUAAAGCAGCUGCCAGCCUUGCGGGAGAAAACCGUUCCCAGGACUCAGACGAGAAAUGACAAGAGAAAGAAACUUUUUGAAAAGAACUUAAAUGAAUAAAGACAAUAA